GGGGGAGCAUUUUCUGCUGCACUACCAGAACUAGACAGGUAGCUGACUGGCCAGGGAAGUGGCAGAGCACUAUGAGAAAAGAGCGUGCAGAAAGAAUCUGUGGCUCACAUACUACCCUCUUCUUAAGAUGAAGACCACAGCCAAAUGAGACCUGGACUGUACUGAAGGGGGUUGUGGGGGAGGGGGUGUCAGGCUCCCUAAAGAUUAGGAUCUUUCAUCCCAGGACUGAAGAGUGGGCCUUCUCAGCAGGCCUUCUUCCCCACCCGGAGUGUGCAGAGGGUGUUAAGUCAGCAGAGGCAGAGAAAAGCCAGUUCCUCCAGGAGGUGAAAGCUGCCCAAGUCUGACCAAGGGUGGGAAGAGGACUGGCCUAGCCCCACAGUAUCACCGAGAGGCUGUUUGUCUGCUCUGAACUGGGAGGACCCAGGUAACGAGAUACAACAUGAAGGGUACAAACACCAGAGUCAAACAGACCUGGCCUGUGACUGGGACCUACCAUUUCCUAGCCAUGUCCCUUUGGGAGGUCCCGCCUGAGCU